GGCCCGGGGCCCUGGGGAAGAUGAGCGCCCUCCUAGAGCAGAAGGAGCAGCAGGAGAGGCUGCGGGAGGCGGCGGCCUUGGGGGACAUUCGGGAGGUGCAGAAACUGGUGGAGAGCGGGGUGGAUGUGAACUCGCAAAAUGAGGUCAACGGCUGGACCUGUUUACACUGGACAUGUAAACACAACCAUGAACAGGUGGUGUCCUACCUGCUACAGUCAGGAGCUGACAGAGAGAUUCUUACAACAAAAGGGGAAAUGCCUGUACAACUAACAUCAAGGAGAGAAAUCAGGAAGAUUAUGGGAGUGGAAGAAGCCAAUGAGGAGGAGAAGAUCCCCCAGCUGAAGCAGGAGUCAGAACUGCCCUUUGUUCCCAACUAUCUGGCCAACCCAGCCUUCCCUUUAAUCUACAGCCCUGCAGCAGAAGACUCCACCCAAUUGCAGAAUGGGGGCCCCUCCCCACCUCCAGUGUCACCUCCUACAGAUGGCUCACCUCCAUUGCUUCCCCCCACAGAAACCCCUCUGCUAGGGGCCUUUCCUAGGGACCACAGCUCUUUGGCACUGGUCCAGAAUGGUGAUAUUUCUGCCCCCUCUGCCAUACUUAGAACACCAGAAAGCACAAAACCUGGUCCUGUCUGUCAGCCACCAGUGAGUCAGAACCGCUCCCUGUUCUCUGUCCCAUCCAAGCCCCCGGUGUCUCUGGAGCCUCAGAACGGGACAUAUGCAGGCCCGGCUCCAGCAUUCCAGCCAUUUUUCUACACCGGAGCAUUUCCGUUUAAUAUGCAAGAGCUGGUACUCAAGGUGAGGAUUCAGAAUCCAUCUCUUCGUGAAAAUGACUUCAUUGAAAUUGAACUGGAUCGACAGGAACUUACCUACCAAGAACUGCUGAGAGUGAGCUGCUGUGAGCUGGGUGUUAAUCCAGACCAAGUGGAGAAGAUAAGGAAGUUACCCAACACUCUGUUAAGAAAGGACAAAGAUGUUGCCCGACUCCAGGACUUCCAGGAGCUGGAACUGGUUCUGAUGAUAAGUGACAAUAAUUUUCUGUUUAGAAACGCUGCAUCCACACUGACUGAGAGGCCUUGCUAUAACCGGAGAGCUUCAAAACUGACGUACUAAUGCAGCAGGGACUUCAUCAUUGAGUACUGUGACAGUAUGUGUCACCUCUGGGCCAAAGGACAAGCCAUUGAUCCCAAAGCCUCGGAUGCCCACCAGGGCCCCUGGUGCCACUGCGUAGUGUUCACUAACACCCCGCCUCAGCAGGCAGGAGCCCCGACCCCCCAGCAGCGGUGCCACUCUUCCAAGCCUCUUGGUGCACAAUAAACUAUUGCUGAAUCUUUGAACAGC